rnacentral:lncRNA from 1 species
GGGGACAGAUAGAGGAGGAAGUUCGGCAGAUGUGAGGGAGGUUAUGGAAGAGGAUCAGAGGAGGGAUGGGAACUUGGAUGUGAGCAUGGAGGAAGAAGGGACAGGGGAGUCUCAGGGAGGCGUUCAGGCCUCGGGGUAUGGUUUUCCACCCCAUUAUCCACCCUUCCCACAGGGUUCAGGGUAUCCGAUGGGAGGUACAUCGGAUUACUCCAGCUUUAACCCCUACCCUACCUACAUGCCUUAUCCACCUUUCUAUCCACCUUAUACACA